rnacentral:tRNA from 11 species
GACCACACGACUUUAUAUAUGGUCUUUUCUACCUAAGGAUGAAAUACAUUCAACUACACAUAUACAUA